UACGUAGGGGGCAAGCGUUGUCCGGAUUUAUUGGGCGUAAAGAGCGUGUAGGCGGCCAGGGAGGUCCGUUGUGAAAACUCGAGGCUCAACCUCGAGACGUCGACGGAAACCAUCUGGCUAGAGUCCGGAAGAGGAGAGUGGAAUUCCUGGUGUAGCGGUGAAAUGCGCAGAUAUCAGGAAGAACACCCGUGGCGAAGGCGGCUCUCUGGGACGGUACUGACGCUGAGACGCGAAAGCGUGGGGAGCGAACAGG
rnacentral:rRNA from 1 species